AGUGAAACUUAACUCGAGUCUUUGGCGCGAGGGAGCUAUGGCUGCUGCUGGGUAUUCCGACCAGAAUCUUUCUGAUGUAGCCACUUGCUCCAUCUGCAUGGAAUAUUUUAAGGAUCCAGUGAUCAUCCCAGAAUGUGGGCACAACUUCUGCCGGUCCUGUUUGGUCCAGUGCUGGGGGGAAUCGGAGGUAGAGGUUUCCUGCCCUCAGUGCAGAGAAACAGUCCAGCAAAAUAAUCUCAUCCCCAACCGGCAACUGGCAAACCUCUUACAAUUAAUUAAGAAUCUCAGCGUUCAAGGAAGGAAAGAAGAAGAAAGAAAAGGAGGAGUCUGUGAGGAGCAUCAGGAACCCCUCAAGCUCUUCUGUAAAGUCCAUGAAGCCCCCAUCUGUGUGGUGUGUGACAGAUCCAGGAUACAUGAAAAUCACAAGGUGAUUCCUCUGAAGGAGGCUUUGGAGGAAUACAAGGUAGGAGAUCCCUGGAUCUUGAGGGGAAGAAAUAGCUUUGGAUUCUUCUUUUUAAUUCUCAGAUCCAAAUUAGGCAUGGCAUUAAGUGGUGGUUGUUUGUUAUGUAAAAAGCAGCCAAGGGGAAGCCUGAGGGCUCCUGGGAUGGCUGGGAGGAGGAACUUGAAGUCUUUCUCUCUGCUGGGUGUGACAAAGGGAUCUUUCCUUGAAAUAAUCACAGCAACUUCAAAAAUUUGAACUGGUACCAUGGUGGGGAGAGAAAGGGUUAACCUCAUCCACAUCCCCCAGCAAGGUUGCUUUGUACUUAUUAAGAACACUACAAGUGUAAAUUGCACAUACACAACUAAGUACAUGUAUCCUUUGGCUAGCAGGAUCCAUCCUCAGUGCCAGAGAGCAGUAAGGGGUCAGCUGGGGGGAGGGGGGGCUGAGGGCCAGGAAUUGACCAGAUAGUGCAGGAUCCACCCCCCCCAAGUAUCUGUUGGAAGCAGAUUUAGGAGUGGGGGCGGAAGCACCUAAUGCUGGGGAGCAGGCUUAUUCUGGGGGUGCUGUGGGGCCUGUGCAAUGAGGUUUCAGCGGGGGGGGGGUCUGCUGAGGAUCUCCUUCCACCCCAAAUGGCAAAGGACUCAAUGGUUCAGAGUAGCAUCUGCAAACACAAAUAUAUAUAAUGCCUUUUAAUCCCUUUUAAAAAAUCACUUGUUCUACUACAGUGGUUCAAAAAUGCUCCUGUGCCAUGCAAUGCGAAUAAUGUCAGCUCUGCAAGCAAGGGGUGAUUUAAUUGGGUCCCUGAGCCCCACAGGGGUGCCGCAGAAAAGAAGGUAGUUGGUCCAGAAAGGGUGAAAACCUAUGGACUUUUAUUUCCUUCAGUAUACUACUUUGCAAGGCCACUGGGUGCAAGAAGCCAGUAUAAUAUCUAUCAACUCUCUGUCUGUCUCAAUCAAACCUGAGUUUUUCAUUUUCUCUUUAGGGAGAGAUUUGUCGCCACGUGGAAAUUCUGAGGAAAGAGAGAGAGGAAGUUCUGGCCUAUCAAGCAGCCCUGGACAAGGAAAGCAAAGACCUCCUUGUAAGUGUCUUUAUUGUUACUAGACAGGGAACAAGCAUUUGAAAAAUCAAGUCAGGACUGAGGAGGGAUGGGGAAAUUUUCCCAUUUCAGCUUCUCUGCAUUUCUCAUUUUUCCAUUUUGUCUGCUUAUUCAUUUAUUAUUCUGAAAAGGAAUCAGAUGUUAGGGUAGCUACCUCCUUGUAUAAAUAUUUUAAUACGUACCUUACCCUAAUAAAUACAUUUUUUGUGUGAACAUUACUUGGCUGGGUCAACCUUGAAAAAUUCAGAGGUGUGAAUUUCUAAGGAUUGCUCUGUUUCGGUCUCCAUAUUUUUUCAGCAAUUGCAAAUUAGGCAAGUUCACCUUUUAAUGCAGCUUGUUUAGUCAUUUAGUCAUGUCUGACUCUUUGUGACCCCAUGGACCAGAGCAUGCCAGGCACUCCUGUCUUCCACUGCCUCCCGCAGUUUGGUCAAACUCAUGCUGGUAGCUUCGAGAACACUGUCCAACCAUCUUGUCCUCUGUCGUCCCCUUCUCCUUCUGCCCUCCAUCUUUCCCAACAUCAGGGUCUUUUCCAGGGAGUCUUCUCUUCUCAUGAGCUGGCCAAAGUAUUGGAGCCUCAGCUUCAGGAUCUGUCCUUCCAGUGAGCACUCAGGGCUGAUUUCCUUAAGAAUGGACAUGUUUGAUCUUCUUGCAGUCCAUGGGACUCUCAAGAGUCUCCUCCAGCACCGAAAUUCCAAAGCAUUAAUUCUUGAACGAUCAGCCUUCUUUAUGGUCCAGCUCUCACUUCCAUACAUCACAACUGGGAAAACCAUAGCUUUAAUUAUACGGACCUUUGUCGGCAAGGUGAUGUCUCUGCUUUUUAAGAUGCUGUCUAGGUUUGUCAUUGCUUUCCUCCCAAGAAGUAGACGUCUAUUAAUUUUGUGACUGCUGUCACCAUCUGCAGUUAUCUCUCACUGCCUCCAUUUCUUCCCCUUCUAUUUGCCAGGAGGUGAUGGGACGAGUGGUCAUGAUGUUAGUUUUUUUGACGUUGAGCUUCAGACCAUAUUUUGUGCUCUCCUCUUUCACCCUCAUUAAGAGAUUAUUUAUUUCCUCCUCACUUUCUGCCAUCAAGGUUGUGUCAUCUGCAUAUCUGAGGUUGUUGAUAUUUCUUCCGGCGAUCUUAAUUCCGGCUUGGGAUUCAUCCAAUCCAGCCUUUCGCAUGAUGAAUUCUGCAUAUAAGUUAAAUAAGCAGGGAGACAAUAUACAGCCUUGUCGUACUCCUUUCCCAAUUUUGAACCAAUCAGUUGUUCCAUAUCCAGUUCUCACUGUAGCUUCUUGUCCCACAUAGAGAUUUCUCAGGAGACAGAUGAGGUGAUUAGGCACUCCCAUUUCUUUAAGAACUUGCCAUAGUUUGCUGUGGUCGACACAGUCAAAGGCUUUUGCAUAGUCAAUGAAGCAGAAGUAGAUGUUUUUCUGGAACUCUCUAGCUUUCUCCAUAAUCCAGCGCAUGUUUGCAAUUUAGUCUCUGGUUCCUCUGCCCCUUUGAAAUCCAGCUUGCACUUCUGGGAGUUCUUGGUCCACAUACUGCUCAAGCCUGCCUUGUAGAAUUUUAAGCAUAACCUUGCUAGCAUGUGAAAUGAAUGCAAUUGUGUGCUGGUUGGAGCAUUCUUUGGCACUGCCCUUCUUUGGGAUUGGGAUGUACACUGAUCUUCUCCAAUCCUCUGGCCACUGCUGAGUUUUCCAAACUUGCUGGCAUAUUGAGUUAAUGCAGAUAGAUUGAGUUUAUUUCCCAUUUUCAUUUAUUAUGUGAAUAGCAGUCAAGGAGGAGGCUGAGGACUUGUGAGCUGAUAGGGUGCAAGCAGUUCAAUUCAAAUCCUGAUUUACUAUAAAUAUUACUUUAAAAAUUGUCUUUCCUCCUCUGUUUCUGUUGCCUUUCUACACCUAAAUGGCACUGAGGCAUCUGAUCAAGACCUGUAUUUUAAAAAGAGCUUAAAAAAUAUAUUUGUAAAUGUUUGUAUCUCUCAUGCCAGGCAUAAAGCAGCUGGCUGGGUGCUUUGGCAGAUGUUUAUCUUCCUAAACAGGGCCCCUCUGAUCUAUAAGCAGUGCCUCAGGGUUGUAAAAGGAAAUUAGAGGCUGGGAGCAAAAGGUCACACUGACCAUACAAAUUACAGAAUACAAUCAAGCUGCAAAAAACACUAAUUAAGAGUUGGUAAAUAGUAAGUUUUAUUGUUUAACAGAAGACUCGAGCCAUAUUUUCAUAAGGUUAAAGGGCAAGAGCUUUUAGAAACAGCAGCUGGCUUGAAAGGGAGUUGUAAAUUGAAGAGGUUGCUUUUGAAGCUAUUUCCUUUUACUUUGAAAAGGCCUUUCCUUCUAAAAAUCUAUCUAUGUUAUGUAUGAAAUAUAUUGGCUUAAAUGUAAUUAUGCAAAGGAUUUAGAAAGUAAGAAAUGUUAGAUUCUUAUGUUAGAUUCUUAUUUCAUUGAUGGUGUGUGAGAAGGUGAACCCAAGAUCUCUGUUUAAGAUAAAAAUUAAAACCAUUAGCCAUCUGUUCUGGAGUGAAUAGGGCAAUAGGGCAAUAGGGCAAAAAGGUUAUCUGAUAAUUAAGGUGCCUGGUCGAGGCAAAUGUAAGAUAUAUGGCUACUUGUUUGCCAUUUAUGGAUAGAAGGAAAUAUAGCUCUUUGUCUCCCAUAAAAGGUAAUAGGAAAUGGGUGUAUCUUUUAUGAUUGGUUCUAGCAAAUAGCCACUAGGAAUUUCAACCAGGCUGAUUGGACAGAGGCAGCCAAAGGAGGAGCAAGGGGGCUGGGCUGAGGGAAUAUAAGUGCUGGCCAUCAGGGCUGGAAGGGCAGAGCUUUGGUAUCCAUAUACCACUGUGUCUCUCAUUUAUUUGUCUGACAAAUAAAUUAUUAUUUUAAUUUCUCUAUUGCUGCGUUGAAUAUUUCAUUCCAGCUAAGCGUUAACCACAAGCAGGGUGCUACAGCACCAGUCUAAACUGAGAGGUGUUUUAUAUCCCUGGAUGUUCUCUGAACAACUAUGAACUCUGGUUAUGCCAUACCCAAAAACAUGGAGGGAACAUCCAUGGCUAGAAAAAAUGCUUCUUGCUUUAGGAUGUAGCCCUCUGCAAAACAGAAGUCAACAGAAAUAGCAAUGGAGAGGGCCUCCCCUCAAAAUAGAUGUUUACUUCUUUAGCCACUGGAGGUUGGUUUCAUGUCUCUGAAAAAUCAGAAGUGUCCUCCCUAUGGAAUUCUCACUAUUCUCUUCCUGAUGUUUUGAAAACUGACCAUCUUCCACACUCAGACCUCCUCUUUUCUUGCAGAAAUUAACAGAAUUGGAGAGGCUGAAGAUUGUGGAGAAGUUCAGACAACUGCGCCAGUUUCUGGAAGAACACGAAAAACAUCUGCUGACUCAUGUGGAAGAGGUGGAGAAGGAGAUUGCAGGGAGAAGGGAUGAGCAGCAGGCCAGACUCUCCAGGAAACUCUCCUCUCUUGAGAAGAUCAUCCAGGAGAUGGAGGAAAAGAGUCAGCAGCCAGCGAGUGAACUCCUGCAGGUAAGACGGAGGCAGGAACAGCCCAAGGCUCUGCUCCAGGAAAAGGCUGCCUCCAAUCCUGUCUGUGCCCCUUUCAUGUAUGCAAGGAGUGCAGGGGCUCAGAUGAUGGAGCCUCUGGUCAGGUUUGUAAUGGACAGGAAGACCCAAGAGAACUGGGAUGCUUAACUAACCAGAAUGCAGACUAGAGAUUCUUCUGUGUUCUUGAUGGAACAGGAGUUGAUCUUCUGCUCUUUGCUGAUGCUUUGUCUCUGAAUGCCUUUCAGCUGAGGGGGGCUUCGCUGCGGAUGCGUUCAGGUCUCCUUCCGACAUGAGCCAGUCUCUUGACCAAGCUUCUCUUCCAGUUCCCUCCACAACUUCUGGGUUGAUCACCUUCCCCAUGGAUACAGAUUGGCCCAAAAUGGUGCUCAGUCACAGUGAGCAAAGAGCAAGACAGAGGGACUCAUCCAGACUGCUGCUUGUCCCAGCCCUUUCCUCCAGGAAAACCCACUGUUUACUGCUGAAUUAGAGCAAACCUCAGCCAGGUUUUCUCUGGAUUGACGUUUGCUUUGAUGUUGCACUAAGGAGCAGGUUUUUCCUGAGGGAAAGCGGCAGGGCAAAGACAAAACCACUUGGACUCGUGUUUUCUGGGCACAGGAAAAGCAGAAGUGUGGAUGAGCCCAAAGAAACACUGAGCUGUUUUAUUACCCCUCUGGAGGCAUUUUAUGCUGCAGGUGCUUUUCUUUACUUCCAGAUGGAAAAUAGAAUUUGAAAUUUGGGGACUGGGACAGUGCCCUGGCAGGAUUAUCCCGUAGGCUUAUGUAUGUCUGAAUCACACAAUGCAAACUGCAUUAAAGUUAUUAAAUUAUGGAUAUGUGGAGAACUUGAAAUCGGAACAAUUAAUAAUUUCAGAUUGGAAAAAUAAAAGCUGUGAGAAACCCAAACUGGCUGAUUCCACCAUCCCUACCCAAAACCUUGGCAUGUGCCAGGCAGACUGACAUCUGAGGGCCAGGCUGUUCCUCCACUCCAGGGUCUGAGGGGGUCUUCCUAGUGUGGCCUGUAGUGUGCAGUGAAUUCCCUUCUCUUUUCCCCUCUAGGAUGUGAGAAGGACCUUGCAGAGGUAAGUGGAUCUGGCUCAUUUCCAUUAGCAUCACUCUUUGAAGCUGAGAUGCAAGAACCUCAGACAAGGCCCUCCAGGGGCUGCAGGGGGGAGACUGUAGGACUCACUCCCUGCAGCACCUCACAGGUGAAAGUAGAGCCCCCUCUUCUGAACUUGUAGCCCCCCAACUCUCCCUCCAAGGUUCAAGGUCAGCUGCCUCCUCCCUCCCUCCCCACAUCACUUCACACAGGGAUGGGGGCUCUUUUCUUUCUCUUGCACUUUCUGUCCAUGGACUUUUUGGUAAUUUCAAACAUCUAGAAGAGAAAGUGCCAAAGAUGCUUGGGAAGAGCUUAGGAUGUACCAACAGAUUUCAAUGUCCAAGUAGCAUCUUGUCCAAGUAGCAGCCACCCAACUCUUGGCAGCUUUGGACAUCACUCACAUCCUCUGGAGAAGCUCAGGGAGGGAGGGGUUGCAGGCAUUCCACCUCAGGGGUCUGGUUCUUAAGUCCUGGGACCUUCCCAGAAAGCUGUUAGGGGGCAGCAUUCUUUGAAGCCAUGGGAGCCCUCCGGUGGUGUCGCUUGGGGUUACAUCUUGUCCCUUGUGCUGUUUAGCAUCCUUAUGAAGCCACUGACCAGGUCUUGGAGGUGGGUGUCAAGAGAUGAAGCUGAAUCCUGAAAAUUACCUGUUGGGAAAUGAACUUCAACUUUGUUCACGUUACUGAGAUGUCCUGCAAGAAUUAGGGAGAUGGGGCCACAAUGGGGCCAUUCAUUGUUUUUCUUUUCACCAGGUAUGAGGAAAGAGAGAGUCCAGAGAAGCCACUGGCUUUCCCUCCAGAACUGAGGAACAGGAUCUUGGAAUCCUGUGAUCUAAAUAACCUUGUGGAGCAUAGAAUGAAACAAUUUAAAGGUAAUGAAAAAUGGCUGCCAGGAUUUCACCCUGGGAAUUCUGUAACUUCUUCAGAACUGAAAAUGCCAGGCUCUUACUGCAUGGAAUUGAGCAAUCCCAGGAUACCUUCCUUCUUGGUGCUCCAGCCUUCAUUUCCUGUCCCCCCAAAUGGCCCAUGUAUAUUGUGACGCUGGAUCCUGUAAAGAAAGCCUGAACCAGAGUGUAGAGCAAAGUCAGGAUUUUUUCCUCCUAUGUGCUUUUGUUUACAGUUAUAUGAAACCUCCUUUUCCUUGUGGUUCCCUGUCUGCACAAUCUGGGGUUCUCCUGCUCUGAAUGGAGUCAAAGGGCAUUAAGAAGCCCCCAGUUCCCCCUCUGCCUCCUGCUCAGGCUUGUUUCUCAGCCGUGGAGCCAAGGCCUGAGCCGUCUCCUCCUCAGACGUCCCCCUGCAGCUGCCAUAUCUAGGGCUUCAGCCUUCAAGAUCUCCUGAGAGUUCCCCCACUGAGGAUGGAAGCAAGAGUACAUGAGCCCCAAAGGGCACAAUUAUGCUUGUUAAGAACCUUAAAGAUUUGUAGAAGGUUUGUGAGGAAGGGUUUCCUUUUGCACGAGAGCUCUGCCAGUCCUUCUACAGCAACCUUUGCUUCUACACGUGUUUCACAAUUUUGCCCCCCCCCCCCCCCACUUUACUUGGGGAAGAUGUUAAGGCUGCCUCCAUCUCCCCUCUGCCUCCUUUUACGGGAUUCCUAUUGCUCUGCCUCCCCUCCAGUCCUCCAAUAUAGAGCCCAAUUUCAGGGACAAAGUUCAGAGACCAGCAGGAUUCAUGCUGAAUAUUUUUAUUCUCUUAUUUGUAAGCUUGCUUUAUGAUUGCUGAGUUUUAAAGCUUUAGUUAUUUUCGUAGAUUCUUCCUAUGAUUUUCUUGUUUUUAAUUAUUUUUUGUACAAUUUAAUUAAUAUUUAAUAAUUGUACUUGAAUUUAAGGAUGCCACGUUAUGAAGUGUUACUUUUGUAUGGAGAUUUAUUUCUGGUGGAAGAGUGUUGCCCUUACACUUUAUAUCUUUUUGCUUCCUCAGAUGCUCUGCUAUUCAGUGAACAGAUUCAGAAAGGUAAAUUUCCAGGGGAGGAACAAUUUGACAGGAGGGAUGGGGACUGAUAUUUCAUGGGUGUUGAACCAUCUGUCCUGCAGACUUUGGGACCCCCAUCAAUGGUGUAACUCUGGGAAACAGUCCUCUAGUGGUGUUUGGGUUCUUUGUCUGUCCCGUGAAUGAACUGGGAGGGAGUUUGAAGGCUUGGAUUGGGGGCAGAGCUUGUCCCUGAGAAGAACCUGCACACCAGUCUGGGUUCCUUUCUUGCCUAUAGACUAUUAAUCUGGUUUCCUGGUUAAUUUUAUAGAUUUUGCUUUCUUUCAUAAAAUUUAUAUACUGCUUGAUUGUGGGGAAAAGCCUCAGAGCCUUACAAUAUCUUACAAAAGCCCUUAAGGAAGAUCCUACAGGGUCAGUCCAAUGUCCAUUUUGUCAAGUUCUCAUGUAUAAGGAAUCUCCCUUGCAUUUUGUUUUCCCUCCACACAAUCUGGAGAGGUUCUUUUGGGGCUUCUUGAGAUUUGCUUGGAUUUUCCCCUCGUGAAGUGUGUUAAAAGGGGCACCCGCAAGCACCCAGUCCCUCCUCCAUCUCCUGCCAGGCUGGUCUCCCAGCAGCAGAGCAAGGCCUGAGCCGCCUCUUCCUCAGAGUUUCAACCUCACCAGCCAUUUCUCGUGCUUCAGCCAUCCCCAUCUCCUCAGAGUUCCCACACUUCUUAUGAGAUAUGCCCCAUUCCAUGAGGAUAGACUUCCCAUUGCACGAGACUCUUGGAAGUACAGUGCAAAGCUCUGCCAAUUUUCCCUCUGCAAUUUGGUUUGUCAGCAUACUUGGAAAUUCCAGUUUCAACAGCUUUCCCCCACCAGUUUAUUUGGGGCAGAUGUUAAACCUUUCUUCAUCCAUCCAGUUCAGAUCCCCAUUUCAUUUGUGGAUUUUGAAUGAUUGUAUUCUGCCAUUUUCUAGUGUGGUUUACCAUUUCUGAUUUUCCCAUGAAAUCAUGGAAUAGCAGUGUCAGGGAACUGACAUCAGAGCUAGAGGCGGAGGGAAGGCUCUCAAAUGAUGCUGGAGAAGGGCCCAGCAGGGAGAGAGGCAGCUCUGCAGAUGGGGAAGCAAAUCAGCGCUACACCAGGGAUAAGGAGGGGCUGAUGGGGGAAUCGGCGAGAGGGCUCCAGGACUCUUCACCGGACACCAGCGGGGAGAGCACGGGUCCCCCGCUACCCACGCCCACCCUGCGCAGAAGACUUCCGUGCAGAGAGAGUAGGAGGAUACUGGGUGUCAAACAACUUUUAUGUUGGAAAAGAUUUAAGAAACGCCCACUGACGGAUUCUGCUAGCGAUUGAGGCAGCCACGAAGUAAAGGGCUGCCCAGACUGAAAGGUUUAGCAAGGCAUCAAAGCCUGGAGAGGCGGCAACUUACGCACGAGCAACCCAUACACAUCACAAGCAGAGUUUGAAAGGAUCCCAAGGAUCAUCUAGUCCAGUCCCCUGCAAUGCGGGAAUUGCAACUAAACACAUUAAUUGUUUUAAUUCCUUAGGCUUAGUGAUAUUACAUUCUCAAGAAUAAUCUUUUGGAGAAUAUUUAACAUCACUACUUAGACCUACAGCUGUUGUCUUUGCAAUUAUUUGUUCUAAGAUUUAAUCUUUUGCUUGAAAUAAGGAAACAACAGAUGCUAUGUUAUGGUGAUGUUUUGUAAAAAAGAUUUAAUUUAUUUAGCUAUUGCAUUGUAGCCAGUUAAGCUUGUCUUUUUGCUUCCUCAGAUGUUCAGUCAUUCAGAAAUCUUCAGAGAGGUAAAUUUCACAUGGAGACCCCAAUUCACAAGAGUCUCUUUUGUACAGCUUGACUCUGGCCCCUGCGGUUUGUACCACAAAGGAAGAGAGGGUGGAUUUGAAGGUGCAGAAGGGGAGGGAGAGAAACUGCCCAGAAGGAUCAGAUAAAAGAGGGAAGAGUUUCAUUCCUGCCUAGAGAGAGUUGGGUUGCUUUUCCAUGUGACCUUUUUCAGGACUGGUUGCCACAUGUCCUCUUUUUCUCAGACAGGUCCUCUACUUUCAUGAUUAAAAUUCUCCCCUGGGUGGAUUUUUAAAAUUUUUAUAUUUGGCAAAAUGUUUCAGGUUGUUUGGUUUGGUUUACAGUAACCCAUGAAAUUUUUUUCUCAUGCAUUAGACUCAGAUCUAAGGCACCCAGCUAAGCUAGCCUAGAGCAAAGAAUCGCAACAGAGCAGCAUCUUCAGCUAGCCACAUCCUGUAUAAAACCCUUCUCUUGUGGCUGAACUAAAAGGACGCUGGCUCAGCUACAAGAUCUUGGAGGAGGAGUCUGGGAGGGCAAGAGUUAACACCCCCCUGCCCUUAAGGAGAGUCCAUAUGUACAUGUUUAACAGUUUAAUAAAUUGUUCUGUGCACACUUGCGUUCACAAAGAUGUGAACAUGAGCCCAAAUACUUUCAUGUGGCAAGCAAGGGAGCAAUAUGUAUUGUUGUUGUUGUUGUUGUUGUUGUUGUUGUUGUUGAAAGUUAAGAACAUUGCUACUAGCAGUAUAUCACAGCUUCGAAAGCCUACAUAGAGUAGGGGUAUUUAAAAUGAGUGUCGUCAUAGCGAUACAUGGUUAAGAGUAGAAGUUGGCAAAUGUGUCCUCUUUUUUGCUCUUCAAAAUAUGGCAACUCUACACUUGCCUAUCAUGACUGUCUCAGCCCCUGAUUGGUAACCUUUUGAAUUAUUCUCCCUUCCCCCAGGGAACUAGUCUUAUGGUAUAUAUUAAUUCCAAAAGAGAAGCAUGGAUUAAUAAGUCCUUUGUAAAAUUGCCCUGCCACCUGACUCCUCUUCCCUGGCGGCAAGCCCCAAACUUCCAAGAUGGUGGGGAGGAAGGCAAGGAGAGACCAAGUGGGUGAGAGAGAUGGAGAGCAGGAAUAAACAGGCUCCCCACUUAAUCCGAUAUUCACUUGUGGGCACGAGGGCCCAGAACGUAACCCCCUAUACAGUAUGUGGUUUUGUGUUGUAUUUUUAUUCUGGGAACAACCCCGAGACCGAUGGAUGAAGGGCAGUAGGUAAAUGUGAUGAUGAUGAUGAUGAUGAUGAUGAUGAUUAGAACAGGGGGGUCCUCAUCCCCCACCCUGACCCAGAGGUCCCCAAAGGCCAUUUCCCACAGAUAUUAUCAGAGGAAAGCAGCUUCUCUCCUCUCCUGCCUCCUCCAAUUCUCCUCUCUUUCUUCUUAGAUAACACAGAAGAGCUGAGUAAAAGGUUUACUGGGUGGUUUUUCCCCUUAGAAAAUGCCUGGGUUGAGAGGAGGGCAGGCACAAUACACAUCGAAUAUAAGAAAGUGAAGGAAACUGAUUUAAAAACCAACAAGGAAGAUAUUUAUUCUGAUGAAAGUCUGCAAGGAGUCUCAGUCUUGCAUGUGAUCCAAAUAAAUCCCAUUCAUCUGAAAUGGAAUCUGGGUUUUUUGGGGUUUAUUAUUAUUAUCAAGAUGUCCGUUUCUGUCUCUCAGCUGACUCUGCCUAAUCUUCUCUUUCCCUCAUCCUCUCCCCAACAGCAAAUGUCACUCUGGAUCCAGAAACAGCCCAUCCCUGCCUCAUCCUGUCCGAGGAUCAGAAAAGCGUGAGAAGGGGAGAGAAACCUCAAGCCCUGCCUGAUAAUCCUGAGAGAUUCAGUGACUGGCUUUGUGUGUUGGGACGUGAGAGAUUCACAGCAGGCAGACAUUUCUGGGAAGUCACUGUGGGAAUUGGGGAAUUGUGGGUUUUGGGGGUUGCCAGGAAGUCUGUGAGGAGAAAGGGCGUCUUUAACUUCAGUCCUGAGGAAGGGAUCUGGGCUGUGGAGAAGUUGAGAGAGAAGUACUGGGCCUGGACAUCCCAUUUUCCUUCUCUUCUGUCCCUCAGUGAGGAGCCCAGGAGGAUCCGGGUGACUCUGGACUAUGAAGGGGGACGUGUGUCUUUUUCUGACGCUGACUCAGGAGCCAAACUCUACACGUUCUCAGGAGCCUCGUUCUCUGGAGAAACCCUCCUCCCUUUCUUUCAUCUGUGUGGAAAUUAUAAAACCCACCUCAGUAUCUCCUGAGGAGACUAAAUCUGCCUCUCAGGCCCAGCAGAAGUUUCUCUCCAGACCAGAGAGACUGAUAUAAAAAACAUUUACCCGCCAAGAGCACGUUGGGCAGUUUUCCAAGAGCCCUUUGAGAGGAUUCAUUCCAGUCAAAAUCAGCAGAAAUAACAAAACAAAAAUGGGUUGCUUUUGCUUUGCAUUUUCCUUCCUUUUCCCGGAAUUCCCUCUGCAGCUCACUUCUUAGAGAGACAGUCACACUUUGAGGAGUCCUAAUAAAUUUUCUCACCUUCAAUCUUGUUUUCCAUUUGAGAUGUCUGAUUUGGCAGAGGACGAGACUCUUAAUCUCAGGGUUGUGGGUCUGAGCCCCACGUUGGGCAAACGUUUCCUGCACUGCAGAGGGUGAGACUAGAUGACCCUCAGGACCCCUCGCAAUUUCGCAAUUCUAGGAAACCUUCCUCUCCCCACAAGACCUUAUGCAGCUGUGAAAAUGCAUGCAUCAUUGGAUUAAUAGAUGACUAAAAAACGAACCCCUUCACCCACGUCAGGCAGGAUAGCUCCUUGCUCUGGAGACCUCAGACGGGAAGAGAAAGAAAAAGAAAUUGAACAGGGCAUCAUCUUCAAAUGGCCUCUGCAAAUACAGCCUCGCCAUCUCCACACGUCAGAAGUAAACCUUGCAUUGAGUGGGGCUUCUGCUCAGUUAAAUGUGUUUUGAGUGGAUGCAUUAACGUUCCAUAUUUACAGGCUGGAUUCUGUAUAUUGGGGGCAUCAAAUGGGGUGUCCUCUGGAUAAUGUUGGACUCCAACUCCCCUUUGACCCAUCCAGCAUGGCCAGGGGGCAGAGAGGGUGGGAGCUGCAGUCUGGCAGCUUCCGGAAGAGGCCCCAUGGGCUGUACUGCCCUAUACAUUACGCAGGGCACCUUCCCUGUGUUCCUGAGCCCCACCCCAAUACACAGUGCUCCCCCAAGGAGCGUCAUUUCGGCAGCAGGUACAUCUGAUUUCUCUCCUUAGAUACUAACAGCUGGAACAAUACAUGCCUGUGGAAUUGACCCCUCUCAAAGAUCAGGCAGGACUCACUCUGGCUCCACUAUCA